rnacentral:tRNA from 1 species
GGGGCGGUAGCUCAAUUGGUAGAGCACCUGCUUUGCAAGCAGGAGGUCGUCGGUUCGAUUCCGAUCCGCUCCA